GACAGAGGGUGCAAACGUUGUUCGGAAUUACUGGGCGUAAAGCGCGUGUAGGCUGCUCCGCAAGUCGGAUGUGAAAGCCCUGGGCUCAACCUAGGAAGUGCAUUCGAUACUGCGGAGCUGGAGUCCUGGAGAGGAAGGCGGAAUUCUCGGUGUAGAGGUGAAAUUCGUAGAUAUCGAGAGGAACACCGGUGGCGAAGGCGGCCUUCUGGACAGUGACUGACGCUGAGACGCGAAAGCCAGGGGAGCGAACGGG
rnacentral:rRNA from 1 species